rnacentral:rRNA from 1 species
CCUACGGGAGGCAGCAGUGGGGAAUAUUGGACAAUGGGGGCAACCCUGAUCCAGCCAUGCCGCGUGUGUGAAGAAGGCCCUCGGGUUGUAAAGCACUUUCAGUGAGGAAGAACGCCUGGUGGUUAAUACCCAUCAGGAAAGACAUCACUCACAGAAGAAGCACCGGCUAACUCCGUGCCAGCAGCCGCGGUAAUACGGAGGGUGCGAGCGUUAAUCGGAAUUACUGGGCGUAAAGCGCGCGUAGGUGGCUUGAUAAGCCGGUUGUGAAAGCCCCGGGCUCAACCUGGGAACGGCAUCUGGAACUGUCAAGCUAGAGUGCAGGAGAGGAAGGUAGAAUUCCCGGUGUAGCGGUGAAAUGCGUAGAGAUCGGGAGGAAUACCAGUGGCGAAGGCGGCCUUCUGGACUGACACUGACACUGAGGUGCGAAAGCGUGGGUAGCAAACAGGAUUAGAUACCCGUGUAGUC